rnacentral:rRNA from 1 species
UACGAAGGGGGCUAGCGUUGCUCGGAAUCACUGGGCGUAAAGCGCACGUAGGCGGCUUUCUAAGUCAGGGGGGAAAUCCUGGAGCUCAACUCCAGAACUGCCCUUGAUACUGGAAAGCUUGAGUUCGGGAGAGGUGAGUGGAACUGCGAGUGUAGAGGUGAAAUUCGUAGAUAUUCGCAAGAACACCAGUGGCGAAGGCGGCUCACUGGCCCGAUACUGACGCUGAGGUGCGAAAGCGUGGGGAGCAAACAGG